rnacentral:rRNA from 1 species
AUUGAACGCUGGCGGCAUGCCUAACACAUGCAAGUCGAGCGGAGAAACUUAGCUUGCUCCUGGGUUCAGCGGCGAACGGGUGAGUAAUACCUAGGAAUCUGCCUUGUAGUGGGGGAUAACGUCCCGAAAGGGGAGCUAAUACCGCAUACGCCCUGAGGGGGAAAGUGGGGGAUCUUCGGACCUCACGCUAUAAGAUGAGCCGAUGUCGGAUUAGCUAGUUGGUGGGGUAAUGGCCUACCAAGGCGACGAUCAGUAGCUGGUCUGAGAGGAUGACCAGCCACACUGGAACUGAGACACGGUCCAGACUCCUACGGGAGGCAGCAGUGGGGAAUUUUGGACAAAGGGCGCAAGCCUGAUCCAGCCAUGCCGCGUGAGUGAAGAAGGCCUUCGGGUUGUAAAGCUCUUUCGCAAGGGAAGAAGGGUUGCCAGCGAAUAAAUGGCGAGGCUGACGGUACCUUGAGAAGAAGCACCGGCUAACUACGUG